rnacentral:rRNA from 1 species
UACAGAGACUGCAAGCGUUAUUCGGAUUCACUGGGCGUAAAGGGUGCGCAGGCUGCUAAAUAUGUGGGGCGUGAAAGCUAGAAGCUCAACUUCGAGACUGCGCUCCAAACUAUUUGGCUAGAGCAUUGAAGAGAGUAGCAGAAUUCACGGUGUAGCAGUGAAAUGCGUAGAUAUCGUGAGGAAUACCAGAGGCGAAGGCGGCUACUUGGACAAUUGCUGACGCUCAGGCACGAAAGCGUGGGGAGCAAAAGGG